UCACUAAACAUAACCACAUUCGAAACAAAAUAAACACCUAAAGCCCCUAUACUUAACCAUUUUCAAGUGACUAAGUAUCAAAACAAAACCUUAUUAAAAACACAAAAUCCCCUUUAAAGUCCUUACACUUAAUCAUUUUCAACCUAUCAAGUCACCAAACAUAACCACAUUCAAAAUGAAAAAAACACCUUUAAAGUCCCUACACUUAACCAUUUUCAACCUACCAAGUCACCAAACAUAACCACAUUCAAAACAAAAAAUGAAAAACAAGACCAAUAAGAUGUCAACAACAAUGCUAGUAAAUCGAACAUGACCACACACAGCUUCACUAGACUUCAAUAUGAACAAUAAAAGAAGAUAACGACAAUGUUAGUGAAUCG
rnacentral:lncRNA from 1 species